GGAGGAGGCAAUCUGACCUGAAUUUACAGAAGUCCAUUAAUGGAGAAUUCAUUGCAGCCCUUAGGAAAAUAUCUCAGUGUUAAUUACCUUCACAGUUAAUUACCUUCAAUUAUCAUCACAGUUACGUAUUUAAUAUUUAUUUCUAGUCUAAGCUUUCUUCAGCCUUCAUGUACCGAAGCGUAUGAUGCCUCACUUUGCUGCAGCCAGGAGAUUAACUGUGACAUCAGCUCUGGCGUAAAUGCUGGACCUCACCAUAACAAUCAUCAGCACUGGGAAGAACUGGGACUGACGUGUCCUAGUGGGGUUUCUGCCUUCCCUGACUUCUUCAGAUACAUCACAGCUCGUGUAACCUUCCAUGGAGUAAGGCUCUGUUCUUGGCAUGGACUGCAGAAGCACUGUCAGAUUUUCAACUUCCUUGACUGCAUGCGUCAGCCUCAUGAUAUAUGGGCUGAAGAGAAGUGGAAAGGAAGACAUGUGAAAAAUAUUGCAGAGCUUUGUUUCUCCAGUAUUGUUUCCACAGAUUUGCUUUAAGAAUCAUAUUAGGCUGGCAGGAGGAGCUCUUUUAUUCCCUUGUGGUAUAAAUCUAAAACGCUUGCUUGCUAUGGAGAAGACAUUUAAAUUUGCAGCCGUGUGGCAGCAAUCUGUAUCCUUCUGGAAAUCACCUGCAUUUAUUCACCCUUAACGGCACUGUCACUUGUUCUCCUUGACCUUACAAAGGAGAUGUGAGGAUCAGAUUUCCAGACACUGUGAAUCCCUUUCUUAGAGACCAGUUUGAAUUUCAGUCUGAAGUGAGACAUUUUGCUGGGCACAUGUUGAAGCACAUUAGUCAUGGAAGCGGUUGUAACCCAUCAGUGACAUUUGUCUGUGUUACUCUACCUGGUUAGCUGACACCAACUCCACAGUACUUGAAAUCUGCUGACUUUACUGAAGGGUCAGGCUUGCUACGCCACCUAGAAAAACAAGGAAGUUGGAAGACACCAUUUAAAUACAGUUUAUAAAGGAUCUGAGCCAAUCAUUAUGGGGAGAAGAGACAUCCCAAAGGGACGGGAGUUUUGGAGCUUGCUGAUGACUCAUUUCAUAAAACCAGAAAAUUGACUUGCAUACGUGUGAUGAAUAAAAGUAGAUUAUAUAUUGCGUACAGGUUGCUUGAGAGUAGGUUGGAAAAGGGCUUAUUCUCAUUACCAGACAGCUAUGAGUAUUCUUUAUUAGGACAUUUAAAAUACAUCUCCUGGUUGUCGUUAAGAGUAAGUACCAUGCGCUUCUGGCUGAUGACCUAUGAGAUUUUACUGACAUCAUUGCAUGAGUAGAAGAAUGAGCUUUAUGUAUGAGCUUCACGCACCUUUGAAAGCCGUACUUGGUUCUACUUAGAGCCAUUUGCUGCUCAGAAUAAACUCUGCUGGAAAUCUUAAUGGCUUUAACAGAUCUCAUUCUAAAUAUCUCUGUGGAAGAGAUUCUUAACGUGCUUUUACUCACUCUAAUCUCUGCUGCAUUCAUUAAAAAACACUUUGAAUCAAAAUGGCUCCAAACUCACUAUUUUUGUACUCUUUCCAUUUCUGAAAGGUUUGCAAUUCAGGAAGGCUGUAUGCUAGCUAAUUCACUGCAGUUGAAAUUAAUCAUAGGAGUGUUUUUCCCUUCUUGUUUUACUUUUUUUUCUUUCUUUCCAAACCAUUACUUUUAAUUGAGGAGAUGGUGAUUAUUACACUGGCAUUUACUUUCCAGACAGCGUGAUUCACAAAAUACCCCUUUGUUUGUGACUGAGUGGAGACCUACAUUUUACUUGCACAGUCCUUCUGGUAGACAGAGCUGCUUUCCAUGAUUUCAUACAAAAGGACUGACCUAACCUUCUGAAGUUUUACUCUUGGCUUCCUUAAAAUCUGCAUCAAUCUUAGACCUGAUCAGUCCUUGGCUGGAUAACACCCUAUUAAUCUGGAUGAAGAUGCUGAGUAAAGCAGCAUAAAGGAUCAUCUUUGUUGCAUCUGAGCCAAGCUGUGCGCACGUAACCUUCUAUUUGGCUGCCAAUUCCCCAGCAUAAUUUUGCUUUUGUUUAGUAAGGAAUGCAUGACUCCACUGGAGGUGGGUUAUAAAAAAAAAAAAUCAAACAAAGCAAGCGUUUUACCUUUUCCAUUCUUUCAUCUUCUUGGUUCUGAAGCUGCAUUCAGUAUUUUUUACCCAAAAUCCUCUCUGCUCAGACUCAUACUAACUUCUUCAGAACAAAUGGACAUUCAAAGGGACCUCCCAACUAUUUUGAAGAGUCCAUUGUGGUUCACCCUCCACAGUACUCCUGCCGUGGAAGCUUUCAAGCGCUUGCUUUCUCCAGCCUCUCCUUUUCCCUCUGCAGCCUUCUUCCUUCUCUUAUUCUCAUUCAUCCCCUCCAGUUUCUAACUAGCCUGUGUGGAAAAUGUCACUUCUUGCAUCUGUCACCAACAGACUGGUCAGCCCCUCUCCACAGAGCACUGCCCUUUCUGCCUUCUCCUCAUUUGCCUCCAAGCAUGUUCAGUGUACUUCCUAGAGCCACUGACUUUUGCUUCCCCCCCAGAUCUACUUUAGAUCUCUUCCAGUCUGUUUUUGUCCCCUACACAAUAUGUUACAUGCUGUUACACCCUAUCAUCUCAAGAAGGUUUGUGACCGUUGACUUCUGGUUCCCUUCCUUCCAGGUCCUUGUCCCUUCCAUUCUUUUCGCCAGAAGGAUGCUGUCCCUCAGGGCUGCUCUUGGCUUUCCUGUCUGCUGCCCCUCUGGACAAUGUCAGCCCCAAACAGAGCUUUGACUUAUAUCUUAUUUCUCCCCACAGCUAAAAGAAAAAGACAUGAUGUGUCCUCCUGACAUUCCUUGGUGGAUACCUGGUCAUGGCCAAAAGGCCAAAUCUUUUCACAUUUGCUCCCAGCUGUUACACAGCUAUACACAGACCUGUAAUCUUGUUUUCCUAUGAUUUGGCCCCAGUGUUCAGGCUUUGUACAAAUAUUUCCAUUCCUUCCUGCCCUGUGCUUUCUGUACAAGUUCUCACGUCUGUUCAGCCUCCUGUGCUGUUUUCCCAGUUUCAGCCAUUCUGUUCACACAGGACUGGCUCUGCUCUCCUCGCACUGCACGUUCACUAAGCACUUGUUCAAGCUGCCUGUACUGUCAAUUACCCAGUUAUGCCUCCUCCAGGUCCUUCCACUCUCUUCUCUGCAAACAGAAACCUCCCUUGAUCUCCUCCGUCACUUCAUUCAGCUCUACUUGUCAGGCUUUUUGGUUUCUGAGAUGCUGAGCUUUCCCUAGCUGAGGCCAGGGCAGACAGGCCAUUUUCCCGAUGGAGGAAUUCCUAACCACAUAAGCUCGCUCUUCACCUCAGCACCUUCUUCUGGAGAAAUUCAGCACACUGGUUUUCAUCUCUGGGGCAGCAAGUACCAACUUCACCCUCUCAGCUGAGGCCUUUGGAUCCAGCUCUCUGUUCCAGUCCUCCAGUGACCAUACAGUGAUCUGCCUUGAACAUGCAUUUCCACAGCACAGCCUGCUGAGCGGAAAAACAGAAGGCUCUGACUCAGAAAUGCCCUGAUUUGGAAAGGUUGAUGGCCGCACCCCAUGGAACAGAAUGGCUGACCUUUGCUGGAGCAGCUGCUCCGUUACAGUGACCCAAAAGUGAUAUUUAGUCAAAAUAUGAAAAGCCACUAUGCUCUCCUUCCAAUGUUGCCUCGGCCAAAGAAGAAAAAAAAAAGAAAAA
ensembl:lncRNA